rnacentral:lncRNA from 1 species
CUCAUUGUUUUCUAACUANGUAUAAGCAUAGCUAUGAUCCCUAUUCCCACGUUCCCGGUUCGGAAUCAUCCCCUUGGUUUCUGAAUGUGUGUUUGGAAUGUGAGAGUGGACUCUCGUUAUUUGGAAUUCUCAAACUAGAAAAAGAAUUUGAAAGGCAUCCUGCGUUGAGGUAAGACCACAGAUAAACCAUCGACUAAAUCCGCAAUCCAUCGUUGCAUUUGUAGCUGAAUCAAGAGGUGGUCAGGUUUUCUUGGGAUCUUUAUCACCAAAGAUAUUUUUACAUAAGACACUAAAGACUGUGCAUGUAGUCAGAACACGAAACCCUUGAGCUUAGAAAUAAACUACCUUCUGAGAUAAAAUUUAACAGCGAAUGUAAGCCCUCCCCAUGGAAGGAAAAUCAGAAAUUAUUGCCACAGAGUUCCCGUCGUGGCUCAGUGGUUAACGCAUCCGACUAGGAACCAUGAGGUUGCAGGUUCGAUCCCUGGCCUCGCUCAGUGGGUUAAGGAUCNNNNNNNNNNNNNNNNNNNNNNNNNNNNNNNNNNNNNNNNNNNNNNNNNNNNNNNNNNNNNNNNNNNNNNNNNNNNNNNNNNNNNNNNNNNNNNNNNNNNNNNNNNNNNNNNNNNNNNNNNNNNNNNNNNNNNNNNNNNNNNNNNNNNNNNNNNNNNNNNNNNNNNNNNAAUUUCUGAAAAGAGCCCAAAGAGCCAGCUUGGCUUGUCCAAGGGGAGGGUGCCCCUCUGCCCAGCACGUGCCCUCCUUUGUAGAUGAGGGUAAACAGGUAUUGUAGGAAUCGCCAAUGAUUGGCUUUACCUCAUCUUCCUAGGUGUCUCUGUUCUAGAUUCUCCUUUAGUUUCCUGUCCCUUUAAAGGAAAUCAGAAAUAGAGUCGCAGAAGUAGAAAGGAUUUUUUUUUUUUUGUCUUUUUUAGGGCCGCACCCACAGCAUAGGGAGUUUCCCAGGCUAGGGAGUGGAAUCAGAGCUACAGCUGCCAGCUGACACCGCAGCAACACCAGAUCUGAGCCAUGUAUGCAAGCUACACCAUAGCUUAUGGCAAAGCCGGAUCCUUAACCCACUGAGGGAGGCCAGGGAUGGGACUUGCAUCCUCGUGGAUACUAGUUGGGUUCGUUACCACUGUGCCAUGAUAGGAACUCCAGAGUAGAAAGGAUUUUAAGGUCAUUUAGCCAUGCUUUGAAAGGGUUGUAUCUUGAAACACUGACACAUUGGUGGGUCUUCGCCUGGUGAGGAAUGUGGCAGGUUCUUAGUUACAAAAUCCCAGCCUGGUGACUGUUUCACAAACUAGAACUUCAUUCUGACUGAUCUGUGUAUGGCUACUCUUUUGAGAGAAGAGUGAGUGAAAUGGCAGCUGGCACCCUUUUCCUGGAAAUCUCUCUGGGUGUGUUUUGGUGUAUUUCACAGGUGUUGUGGCAUAUCCACUUCAGUGACUCACUUGAGGUUCCCCCAGCCCAUGGUCUCCUCUGUGCACCUCAUACCCCUUUGUGAGUUUCCUCUCUGUACUCAGCCCAGAGCUGAGUAUAUGCACAGAGCAAAUGGGUUAGUGCUGAUGAUAAGGAAAUCCUGGAAAUUUGGAAUGUGCACACGUGUGUCUUAAAAGGGCCAUAGCAAAGAAGGCCGUUUUAAUGGCAUCAGAAGCAAUUGAAAGACUACUUGUCUGCUCACCAAGAGAGCUCAAAGAGAGCUCAGCUGUAUUCUGCUAGUUUCUAAAUAUUUCCAACACCUCAACCUUUGAAGUUUUAAAAAUUAGAUCAAAAGUCUUCCAACUCGAUGUUGUCUAUAAGAAACCCACUUUAAAUAGAAAGAUACAUGUAGAUAAAAGUAAAUGGAUGAAGAAAAACAACACUGGCAACUAAUCCAAAGAAAUCAGGAAGAGCUGUAUUAAUUUCAGACAGAGCAGACUUCAAAGUCUUCAAAGUAAGGAAAGUCACUAGGGACAAAGAAAGGCAUUACGUAAGAUGAAGGGGUCAAUCCUUCAAGAAGACAUAACAAGUCUUCGCAUGUGUGCACCAAACAAUGGUAUGAGACCACAUGAGGCAAAAACUGAUAGAACUGCAAGGACAAAUAGAUGAAUCCACUGUCAUAGUUGGAGACCCUCUCUCGGAAAUGGACAGAUUCAGCAGGCAGAAAGCCAGUAAGGACAUAGCUGAACUUAACACCUUCAGUCCACUGGAUAUAAGGGGUUUGUAGACCACCUCAGACAACAACAGCACAAUGCCCAUUCUCCUCAAGCUCAUAUGAACCAUCCACCGAAGGAGACUGCAUUCUGGGCCAUAAAACACACCUUAGCAAAUGUAAGCGAUUAGAAACCAUACAAUGCAUGCUCUCAGACUGCAAUGGAGUGAAACUAGAAAUCAAUAACAAAGAUAAUUGGACGUUCCUCCAAACAUGUGAAGAUUAAACAAGAGACUUCUGAAUAGCAUGUGGUAAAAAAAAAAAAAAAUCUCGAGAAAUUAAAAAAUAUUUUGAGCUAAAUGAAAAUGAAAGCACAAUUUGUGGAAUGAAACCUUGUGAGGUGCAGAGAAAGCUGUGCUUGGAGGGAAAUUUAUAGCAUUGAAUUAAUCUAUUAGAAAAGAAGGAAAAUCUAGAAUCAAUCACCUAAGUUUCCACUUGAGGAACCUAAAGAAAGAGCAAAUUAAGCCUAAAGUAAGCAGAAGAAAAGAAACAAGAAUUGAGUAGAAACCAAUGAAAUUGAAAACAGGAAAUUAAUUGAGAAGAUCAGUGAAACCAAGAGUUCUUUUAAAAAGCUGAAAAAAAAAAUCAAUAGGCCUCUAGCAGACUAAGGGAAAAAAGAGAUGAAGACAAACAAUAUUAAUACCAGAAAUGAAAAAAGUGCAUCACUGCAGAUCCCAUGGACAUUAAAAGGAUAAUAAAGGAAAGCCGGGAGCAACUCUAUGCCUGUACAUUUUACUGCCUAGAUAAAAUGGACCACUUCCUUGAAAGACACAAUCUGCCAAAACUUAGAACACUAAACAUACUCUUAGCAUGUAAUCUAGCAGUUGCAUUCCUUAGUAUUUACACCCAAAUCUUGGAAAACUAUGUCGACACAAAAACCUGUGCAUGAAUGUUGAUAGCAGUUUUAUUCACACUUGCCAAGACUUGGAAGCAACCAAGAUGUCCUGUGUGAGGCGAAUGAAUAAAUUUGGAUGUGGUCCAUCCAGGUAAUAGAAUAUGAUUCAGCGCUAAAAAGAAAUGAGCUAUUAAGCCAUAAAAAGACACGGGGGAAGCUUAAGUGCGCAUCACUAAAUGAAGGACGCCAAUCUGAAAAGGCUACAGACUGUGUGAUUACAACCGUGUGCCUUCUGAAAAAGGCAAAAUGAUGAAGACAAUAAAAAAUCAGGGGUUGCCAAGGGUUGGCAGGGCUGCUGGAUGAACAGGUGGAGCACAGAGGAUUUUUAGGUCGUUGAAACAACUCUGCCUGAAACUAAAAUGAUGGGUAUAUGUCCUCACACAUUUUUUGCCCAAACCCACAGAAUACUCCAGGGUAUUUUUAGGGUUUAUCUCCCACUCUUUGUGGGUCACAUGUCUUAUGAGGGCUUCCAACAGGCCAGCCAUUUCUUGCUGACGUGGCCUGAUGAGCAAAGUAUCGGCAUGAUGCUCUGUGGGAUGUCUGGACCAUGCUGGUCCUUCAAGUGUUGUGACAGAGGGCAGGAGAGUUAACAUAGCCCUGGGGCAAAACUGUCCAUGUAGAUUAUUGUCUUUUGCACCUGGUUCUGCUUGAAAUCAAAGAGAACUCAUUGGCCACACCGUAAUGCCACGUGUUAUAUACUUGAGGCUGAAUUAAUCUGCUCUGGCAAAAAUCCCCUAUUUGCUGUGAGGGUUGCAAUUAGGGCUUCUCCUUGGUUGACUUUAUGGUAAUCUACUGUUAAAUUUUAGGUUCUGUCUGAUGUUUUCCAAGGACAGAAUGGUGAAUUUAAUAGAAGCAUGAGGGAGACUGCCACUCUGCCUCAAUUAGAUUCGGGGGUCCACAAACAAUGGCCCAUGGGCCAAAUCCAGCCCACGGCCUAUAUGUGUACAACCUGUGAGCCCAUGACUGGGAAAAAAAAUCAAAAGAAGAAGAAUAUCAUGUGAUAUAUGAAAAUUAUAUAAAACUAAAAUUGCAGUGUUCAUAAGUUAUAUUCAACCUCAGAAAUGUAUUUUAUUUAUGUAUUAUACUAUUUACAGUGGCUUUGGGGCCACUACAGCAAAACUAAAUGGUUGCCCUAGAGACUAUGGCCUGCAAUGCCUAAAAUACUUAGCAGUUCUUGCUUUAGACCCUUUGGUGGUGGGGGGCGGGCAUUCAUCUUUGCCAGUCUUCCGUGGAGCAUGGUAUUAGUUUUGAUUUUCGAUCUGGGGAGGGCAGAACUUCAGAAACCACUCCUGGUUUUUCCCACUAUAAGAGCCCUCACCCCCAGGCCAAGGGUCCAAGUAUGUCCACCUCAAUGACACAUUCAGAAACGAGGGCCGUGGGCCACCGACUGGGUCCAUGUCAGCCGGACCUUGGCCGGGACUUGAUUUAUGAUGUGUCCUCUUGUACCCCAGCUUAGACCACCAGGGCGCCAUGAUAACCCUGCAGGUCUCCAGGUACCAGUGUCAACAGUAAUUCUCACAAUAUUUUGUUCUUUCUCUCUCCCCAGUCUGGUUGUCUGAGCAAAGGACUGGGGGAAUUAGUGUGAAUCCUUGCAGGAGUGUUGCAGGAGGAAACCAGCCCCCUCUUUUGUCCAUGGAUUUGGGUCCGAUAACCGACUCAGAUCAGGAAGUUGGGCAUGGGAUCAUGACUUUGUCUUAGGAUGACUUUUCUCGGUCUCCUGGUGGACUCUUCUUCAUUUCUUCUGAGGGUACAAGCUGAGCAGUACCCUUGUUACCGGCCCAGCUAGGCUCACUGAUAGAAAUGGGGGUGACUCCACUGUAAUAGAGGCUCGAGCCAGCUCUUAAUCACCAGAAGACAGGGGGUGGAGCUGGAACGAGGGGGUGCAGUUAUACAGAGCAGGUUGUUGGAGCGCAGCCCACAGGCCUGACCUGCAGAGGUACAAGGCAGGCUUUGGAAGGUGCAUCCGUAAGCUGCAUUACACUGGUUCUCAACGCCAGCUAGAGUUCAAAGCCAUGGGGGAGAGGGGAGUAGGGAGAGGUUUCCGUCUUGUGGAGAGAAGGUCUUUGCACUUUCUUAAAACAAGGGGAAGGCUGGCUGGGCAUGGCUGUCCGUGCUCUCUGCCCUCCCGCUUACUCAGGAGAUGAGAGAGACUCUUUGUAAGCUUCUAGGGAAUGUCUCUGGCUUUCAGUCGCUUGUUAAAUACUCUGAGCGCUUCCUUUUUGUUAAACACCAGUGGAACCUGGACAGCACCUGCUACGGCCUGAAUGUUUGUGCCUCCCCCAUUCAUAUAUUAGCAUCCUGACUCCCCAAAUUGAUGGUGGUAGGGGGUGGGGCCUUUAGGAGAUGAUCAAGUCAUUAGAGCCCUAAUCAGAGACCCCGGAGAGCAUUCUGGCCCCUUCCUCCCGGGUGAAGACACAGCAAGAAGGUGGUAGUCAUGGACCAGCAGGAGGGUCCUCACUGAUGCUGAAUCAGCCGACAGCGUGGUCUUGGACUUGCCACCUCCAGACCUGGGAGGUGGAGUCUGUUUCUGCUGCUGAUGACCUACCCAGUGUCUGGUGUUCGGUUACAGUCACACAUUAACCUCAGACAGAUCUGUGUUCCCAUCAGGGUCCAGUCAUUCAGCAAAUGACUUGACCUCUGGGAGCCUCGGUUCCUGUUCAUUGUGACCCCAGCCUCACUGGGUGUUUAGGAAUAAGUGGGAUGAUUUAAGUUAAGAUUCCCAGCAGGCAGUGGGCACCAGGUCUCCCCUGCCCUCCUCUGAGCAUCGGACCCCUGUGCUCAUCUGUGAUCACUGCUCUCUGCAGUGCUUUUGCUCCACCAGGCAGAGUGUGACUUGAAAGGGUUACUAAUCCCUCGAAACCCUCUGAUCACAGAUAAACUCAUUUCCCGAUCCUGCCACGUAAGUCACUGCUCCGGCUUUGAUGGCCCGACCACACGGCAAGGACCACAUGAAGGCUGCCACUCAAAGCGGUACUCCUCAUCAAAGUUCUGGAGCAAGACGUGCGUCUGCCCACACACCCGGGGAUGGCACCAGCCGUCGAGAUGGAGAAGAUAACAGACCCCCAUGGGGCACCGCUCACAGACCAAGCUCUUGGUCUCACUGCUCAGAGUGGGAACCCCACGGCUGCAAAGUGGGAAAGACAUCUGCAGCUUCUUUGCCCACUUGGCGGUGUGCUUGUGUGAACUCAGCUUCUAAAAAAUAUCCAUGUUACAGCCAUAAAACAUGAACAAAAAUCACAUUUAAGAAAAAAAAUAAAUGGAAUUUCUGGGAGUUGCCAUUGUAGCUCAGUGGUAAGGAACCCGACUGGUAUCCAUGAGGACACAGGUUCGAUCUCUGGCCUCACUCAGUGGGUUAAAGAUCUGGCAUUGCUGUGAGCUUUGGUGUAGGUCAUAGAUGUGGUUCAGAUCCCGAGUUGCCAUGGCCAUGGUGCAGGCUGGCAGCUACAGCCCUGAUUCGACCCCUAGCCUGGGAACUUCCAUAUGCUGCAGGUGUGACCCUAAAAAGCAAAAAAAAAAAAAAAA